CUCCCGGGUGGCGAGUGGCGCACGGGUGAGUAAUACAUCGGAACGUGUCCUGUUGUGGGGGAUAACUGCUCGAAAGGGUGGCUAAUACCGCAUGAGACCUGAGGGUGAAAGCGGGGGAUCGCAAGACCUCGCGCAAUUGGAGCGGCCGAUGCCCGAUUAGCUAGUUGGUGAGGUAAAGGCUCACCAAGGCGACGAUCGGUAGCUGGUCUGAGAGGACGACCAGCCACACUGGGACUGAGACACGGCCCAGACUCCUACGGGAGGCAGCAGUGGGGAAUUUUGGACAAUGGGGGCAACCCUGAUCCAGCCAUGCCGCGUGCAGGAUGAAGGCCUUCGGGUUGUAAACUGCUUUUGUCAGGGACGAAAAGGACCGUGUUAAUACCAUGGUCUGCUGACGGUACCUGAAGAAUAAGCACCGGCUAACUACGUGCCAGCAGCCGCGGUAAUACGUAGGGUGCAAGCGUUAAUCGGAAUUACUGGGCGUAAAGCGUGCGCAGGCGGUUCUGUAAGACAGAUGUGAAAUCCCCGGGCUUAACCUGGGAAUUGCAUUUGUGACUGCAGGACUAGAGUUCAUCAGAGGGGGGUGGAAUUCCAAGUGUAGCAGUGAAAUGCGUAGAUAUUUGGAAGAACACCAAUGGCGAAGGCAGCCCCCUGGGAUGCGACUGACGCUCAUGCACGAAAGCGUG
rnacentral:rRNA from 1 species